GUCUUUAUGUAUUUGAUUUAAAGUUUAGCCUGCCCAUUGUUUCUAUUAACGGCCGCAGUAUUUUGACUGUGCUAAGGUAGCAUAAUAAAUAGAUUAUUAAUUGUAAUCUGGAAUGAAGGGUUUGACGUAAGAAUAACUUUCUUAUUUAUUUUAAUGAAAUUUAAAUAUUAGUAAAAAUGCUAAUAUUUUGUGAAAAGACGAGAAGACCCUAUUAAGUUUUACAUUUAAUUUUUCUUUUUUAGUAUCUAAUAUAUUAAUUAAUGUUUAGUUGGGGCGAUUAAUAAUAUUAAAACAAUAUAGAAUUUUAUUUUUAUUUGAAUUUUAUGAACCAUUAAUAUUGGAUAAGAGAAAAAAUUACUAUAGGGAUAACAGCAUAAUUAUAUUGAAGAGUUCUUAUUAAUAAUAUAGAUUAUGACCUCGAUGUUGGAUCAGAAAAUUCUAAUUGGUGCAGAUGUUAAUGAAGAAGGUCUGUUCGACCUUUAAAUUUCUACG
rnacentral:rRNA from 1 species